UUUGCACACUGGUGAUACAGCCAAGCGGGAAAGCAGAGGGCUGCAGGCAGCCUUAAUUUCUUGAGCCAAACUUGAGCUCUGUAAAAUCAGACUUGAACUGGCAGUGUUUAUAUAGGACAGCAUGCGGUCCUUCUACUCUGGUAUGUGAGUGCUUGGGUAACCAAGACCAACUGCAAAGAGUGGGAUUUGACUCUUCAAGGACAAAAUGGAAAUCACUGAAAACAUCAAGCAUAGAAACUCAGGAGGGUCUCUACGUUAUUUCAGGUUAAUUUGUGACAAGGAGUUUUCCUCCUCUGAGAUGGUUCUCCCUCAGCUGAUUCACAAGAUGGGAUUUAUUCGCUUUGCAAGAUCCAUCUCCAUUCCUCACCCAGAAGAUGUAGCAGUUGUCUCUGGAAGUCCAGUAAUGUAAAACCCCUCCCUGAUGCACGG
ensembl:lncRNA